GACCCUUCGGGAGCUUGCACAGGUGCUGCAUGGCUGUCGUCAGCUCGUGUCGUGAGAUGUUCGGUUAAGUCCGCUAACGAGCGCAACCCUCGCUGUGUGUUAUAUGUGUCACACGGGACUGCCGGUCUUAAGCCGGAGGAAGGUGGGGAUGAUGUCAAGUCAGCAUGGCCUUUAUAUCCUGGGCUACACACACGCUACAAUGGCCAACACAAUAGGUUGCUAAGCCGCGAGGUGGCGCCAAUCCAUAAAGUUGGUCUCAGUUCAGAUUGUAGGCUGCAACCCGCCUGCAUGAAGAUGGAGUUGCUAGUAACCGCAGGUCAGCUAUACUGCGGUGAAUACGUUCCCGGGGCUU
rnacentral:rRNA from 1 species